rnacentral:rRNA from 1 species
GCGCACCAGUCGAGAAAACUCCGCAAUGCUCGAAAGAGUGACGGGGGGAUUCCAAGUGCCUACGCUUAGCGUAGGCUGUUCAGAUGCCUAAAAAGCAUCUGGAGUAAGGGCUGGGUAAGACGGGUGCCAUCUGCAGUGGUAAUGAAAAACUUGCUACUGCAAGGCAUAAGCCGCCGCGGUAAUACCCGCAGCCCGAGUGGUAGUCGCUUUUAUUGGGCCUAAAGCGUCCGUAGCCGGUCUGGUAAAUGCCUGGGUAAAUCGUGGGGCCUAACCUCACGAAUUCCGGGUAGACUGCCAGACUUGGGACCGGUUGAGGGAGAGGGUACUCCAGGGGCAGGGGUGAAAUCCUGUAAUCCUUGGAGGACCACCGGUGGCGAAAGCGCUCUCCUAGGACGGUCGACGGUGAGGGACGAAAGCCAGGGGAGCAAACCGGGAUUAGAUACCCGCGUAGU